rnacentral:rRNA from 1 species
UAGCGGAGGAAAAGAAACUAACAAGGAUUCCCCUAGUAGCGGCGAGCGAAGCGGGAAGAGCUCAAAUUUAUAAUCUGGCACUUUCGGUGUCCGAGUUGUAAUCUCUAGAAAUGUUUUCCGCGUUGGACCGCACACAAGUCUGUUGGAAUACAGCGGCAUAGUGGUGAGACCCCCGUAUAUGGUGCGGACGCCCAGCGCUUUGUGAUACAUUUUCGAAGAGUCGAGUUGUUUGGGAAUGCAGCUCAAAUUGGGUGGUAAAUUCCAUCUAAAGCUAAAUAUUGGCGAGAGACCGAUAGCGAACAAGUACCGUGAGGGAAAGAUGAAAAGCACUUUGGAAAGAGAGUUAACAGUACGUGAAAUUGUUGGAAGGGAAACGCUUGAAGUCAGACUUGCUUGCCGAGCAAUCGGUUUGCAGGCCAGCAUCAGUUUUCCGGGAUGGAUAAUGGUAGAGAGAAGGUAGCAGUUUCGGCUGUGUUAUAGCUCUCUGCUGGAUACAUCUUGGGGGACUGAGGAACGCAGUGUGCCUUUUGGCGGGGGUUUCGACCUCUUCACACUUAGGAUGCUGGUGGAAUGGCUUUAAACGACCCGUCUUGAAACACGGACCAAGGAGUCUAACAUGCUUGCGAGUAUUUGGGUGUCAAACCCGGAUGCGUAAUGAAAGUGAAUGGAGGUGGGAACCGCAAGGUGCACCAUCGACCGAUCUGGAUUUUUAAUGAUGGAUUUGAGUAAGAGCACGUAUGUUGGGACCCGAAAGAUGGUGAACUAUGCCUGAAUAGGGCGAAGCCAGAGGAAACUCUGGUGGAGGCUCGUAGCGGUUCUGACGUGCAAAUCGAUCGUCAAAUUUGGGUAUAGGGC